CCGGUUGUUCCAUCAACCGUUCCCUACCUGGACAUGCGGAGCCGGCAACAGCACCGUGUGAAGCUCCGGGGACAAAGUAGCCGCCGGGCCACCGGUACACCGAACCGCGAGGGGAGGUGAAAUCUGCCUAGCACGAAGGCGUUGAGGCG
rfam:Burkholderia phymatum STM815 plasmid pBPHY02, complete sequence.